AGUUUCAGGUACAGGCAUCACUUUCCGAAAACAGGUGAUUCUCCUUCUGACGAAUCCUUCAGAGGGUCAGUAGCAGCUAAACGCUAUGUCUCACUGCCUGCGCCACUCACCUCACUUCACUUCCACCCGCCGGCAUUUGAUCAUCUCACUCAUCUCACCUCUUCACGAGAACGAUCUCUUCAGCACAGUGGAGUGAUAUUAAGCAUGUGACUCCCAUGCCAAAGUUACAGACUAUGCACUAGUUGAAGAAAAGAUCAUUUGGGAUAUGGAGGAGAGGUCUGAAGCUGGAACAGCCUUUCUGUGACCCUGAAGGAAAGACUAAGAAAUCGCAGAAUCUUUAACCCAGACCUAUUCAAACUUCAAUAAUAUCAUCAGCUAACCCUACCUCUGAGCAUCUUGACUUCUAUAGACUCAGCAGCAGAAGCCUGAAUGGCAUGUAUUUCUCCGCGUUGAUGUCUCUCAUUCAUACUUGUGAUAUGCAGCAGGACACAAAGAAUUCACAAAAUGCAAACAGAUGAAUGGCCUAGAGAACCAUGUCUGGGACCUUGACUUAUUCAUCUCCUAGUGAUGGGGAUGGAGAUUCGAAAAGCCAUGAUCAUGAAACAGUAUGCUUCAACUGAUGGGGUUCUAGGAAUAUCUAAAUAAGGCAUAACGACCCAGUCAAUAUGGAGCUCAAUUUAAUAUUUG